GUUUGGGGACAGCAAUGAGGUUAGUGCACACGCGGAUACACACACAAACGCGCAAGCAGCAGAGAGCUGUUUGAAACUGUUCUGUUUGAAACCCGACUACAGACUGUAUUUCUCACCAUUGUGCGCCCACAAUCCCUGCCCUUCUUCUAAUAAAGCCCAGAAGCUGCAUCUUCUCCUGAUCCCCAGUUCCUUCCACUUUCACCAAAACGGUUUGUCAGUCUCUGGUAGCUAAAACCAGCUUCCCUGUCCCUGCAGCUGCGGCUCCUUCCCCAUCAGAAAUCCCGGGGAGUCCCAUUUCUACUGACAGUGUCUCUGCCUUGGCUAUAUUUGUUUUAAAUGCUCAGUAUAUUUUGCAAUAGCCACUGCUCCAAUGGAGGGACAUCCGCUGACUUCAACGAGCUUUUGGUCACACAAAAUAAAGGGGAUGCGUGACUUCCCGUCCACCAGACACCACGGCCUAGCCAGACGUCUCCCUGGUGGUUUAUCUCCAUUUGGUGACCCUUGCCCCAUGGAGUUCUCCUGAGUCCCAGCCCAGGCCCCCGCCCCCUGGACCCUCCUUCCUACCCUCACAGCCACCUCCUGUCAUUCUAUGUGUGCUGAGCUGGGCACAGUGCCCCUCUCUGUGCUGUAAAGGGGACAUCACCAUGUACUGAGCGCUCCCCCCGCUGUCUCUUAUACCCGCCCUGGGAAACCCGCAUGCAAAUCCCUCCCUGGGGGUUCCUGUUAAAUACCAACCCCUGGUUCUAUAGGAACCUCAGCAUCCCCCCAACCACAGAACUGCCCUGCCCUGCCCGCUUCCCUCAUUCUAUGAGAACAAGAAUGAAAUCUCUGUUGCUUUUCCUUUCCCUGCUCUCUGCUCUCACCUGUGUCAUCUCUCAGGUGCAGCUGGUCCAGACCGGCCUGGGGACGGUGAAAGCUGGAGAGACCCUCAGUAUCACCUGUAAAGUCUCUGGAGUCUCCGUCAGCAGCUACUAUUGGAGCUGGGUCCGGCAGCCCCCUGGGAAAGAGCUGGAGUGGAUGGGGUUUAUCCGACACACAGUUAACGGGGGGACCACAGAGUAUAACUCGGCUCUCACACCUCGUGUCACCAUCACCAGGGACACCUCGAAGGACGAAGUUUAUCUCCAGCUCCGCUCGCUGACAGCUGCAGACACCGGCACCUAUUACUGUGGCCGCCACACACAGUGACACAGAGCAAAGCUGGGAAGGGCAC